GGUCUAAAUUAGAUCUAUUAUUCGAAAGAUGUCAUUUUUUAAUUUUACAAUUUUGAAUCAUUGUUCAUUCAAUUCGUGUAAACUUACAUGGAAACAUUCGUAAUCGAAGGAUAAUGACUGAAUUAUUACUACGUGCUUUGGAUUCCAAAUCAUCAAUUUCAUCCUCGUUUGAUUUUCCAGACCAUGGGAGCUCACGAAGAACAAUAUCCUUUUAGAUAAAUAUAUAAAAAUAGAAAAAAAAAA